UACGAAGGGGGCUAGCGUUGCUCGGAAUCACUGGGCGUAAAGGGUGCGUAGGCGGGUUCUUAAGUCAGAGGUGAAAUCCUGGAGCUCAACUCCAGAACUGCCUUUGAUACUGGUGAGCUUGAGUCCGGAAGAGGUGAGUGGAAUUCCGAGUGUAGAGGUGAAAUUCGUAGAUAUUCGGAAGAACACCAGUGGCGAAGGCGGCUCACUGGCCCGUUACCGACGCUCAGGCGCGACGAGCGUGGGGAGCAAACAGG
rnacentral:rRNA from 1 species